ACUCCUACGGGAGGCAGCAGUGGGGAAUAUUGCACAAUGGGCGCAAGCCUGAUGCAGCCAUGCCGCGUGUAUGAAGAAGGCCUUCGGGUUGUAAAGUACUUUCAGCAGUGAGGAAGGUGGGUAUGUUAAUAGCAUAUUCAUUUGUACGUUAGUCUGCAGAAGAAGCACCGGCUAACUCCGUGCCAGCAGCCGCGGUAAUACGGAGGGUGCGAGCGUUAAUCGGAAUUACUGGGCGUAAAGCGCAUGCAGGUGGUUUGUUAAGUCAGAUGUGAAAGCCCGGGGCUCAACCGUCGGAAUUGCAUUUGAAACUGGCAAACUAGAGUACUGUAGAGGGGGGUAGAAUUUCGAGGUGUAGCGGUGAAAUGCGUAGAGAUCUGAAGGAAUACCGGUGGCGAAGGCGGCCCCCUGGACAGAUACUGACACUCAGAUGCGAAAGCGUGGGGAGCAAACAGGAUUAGAUACCCUGGUAGCGUAG
rnacentral:rRNA from 1 species